AACUGGUUAGAUUUGAAAGAACUAGCUCUGCCAGCAAUCAGCUUCGAUUGGUUAAGUCUAGAAAAAAUAUGUUUCUGACAUGUGGCUAAUGAUCAGUCUCGUUGGCUAGACUCAAAUCAUAGUCAAAUUAGAAAAUUUUUUUCUCAUAAUUUUAUCAUAAUUAAUUUUUUAUAAAUAAACAUAUUUAUUUUUUUAUAACAGUAUCAAUUCAAAUUUUUAUAUUUUCAAAAGAGUAA
rnacentral:lncRNA from 1 species